rnacentral:rRNA from 1 species
AUUGAACGCUGGCGGCAUGCCUUACACAUGCAAGUCGAACGGCAGCACGGGUGCUUGCACCUGGUGGCGAGUGGCGAACGGGUGAGUAAUACAUCGGAACAUGUCCUGUAGUGGGGGAUAGCCCGGCGAAAGCCGGAUUAAUACCGCAUACGAUCUACGGAUGAAAGCGGGGGACCUUCGGGCCUCGCGCUAUAGGGUUGGCCGAUGGCUGAUUAGCUAGUUGGUGGGGUAAAGGCCUACCAAGGCGACGAUCAGUAGCUGGUCUGAGAGGACGACCAGCCACACUGGGACUGAGACACGGCCCAGACUCCUACGGGAGGCAGCAGUGGGGAAUUUUGGACAAUGGGCGAAAGCCUGAUCCAGCAAUGCCGCGUGUGUGAAGAAGGCCUUCGGGUUGUAAAGCACUUUUGUCCGGAAAGAAAUCCUUGGCCGUAAUACGGUCGGGGGAUGACGGUACCGGAAGAAUAAGCACCGGCUAACUACGUG